CUUUGCUGCUCCGCGUUUUUCGGUUUGUUUGAAGUAAAAAGUGUUUAAAUCCUCGAAAAUAUCAUCGUUCAUCGCAGUACAAAGUGCGGUUUUGUAUGUACGCAUGUAAUUUUAACAGAACACAUGUAAGUGCCUCCCAAAUCGGAUGAGAAUGGGAAGCGAGCCAGGAAAGCAAAAAAAUCACGCGCCAUUUCUUAGCUGCUCAAUGUUUUUCGGUUUACAUAAAGUAAAAAGUGUUUAAAUCCUCAAAAAUAUGUUCGCGUGUAAAUUCUACAAAACACAUAGAAUCGCCACUGAUUUGAGCACUUCGCGUUGUUCUCGCACUGGCGUUGUAAAAGAGAUGGAAUCCAGCGAAAGAGCAACCUGACGAUCGAACCCUCCUGCAUCACCUGAGCAGCAGGUCGCCCCAUCCGGAGGAGAGGAAUAACUCUGGAUAGACUGUGGCAGCCACUGAUGCCUCUGCUGUGUCGCUGAAUCGACAAGGUGGGGCUCCGUCCGCUGCAGUGGGGACCAGUGAUCAACGGCGGAGCUGUUGGUUCACGUCCACGGGAAAUACUGUCAGCCACCCACCAUUCAUACCCCGCCGAAUCAAAAGCUGGGCUUCAGCUUUGAGACGCAGGAUGUACCGUACACUUUGCCACAAACCGAGUCGUAUAGGAUUUCCCCCCGCCAGACAUAGUCCUAUCCAAGCCAGACAGAGACGUAUGCGAACCUAACAAGCCAGUGUCAUCCUUCGACUUGGCCAUCGAAAACAAGGACUUUGACUAUGGUAACCAAGGGAGGGGCAACGCGGGCUACUUGAGUCUAGAUAAAUCUCACUGUUAUUAGGUUUAAGGAUAUAUGCGUCCAUUCAUUAAGAUAGUGGAUACAAAUGUUUUCCACUUGUUUAUUUAUUUAUACUAAGCUAAGUUUUAAUGAAUAAACCUAUUUCAAAAUCA